GAUGCCUUACACAUGCAAGUCGAACGGCAGCACGGACUUCGGUCUGGUGGCGAGUGGCGAACGGGUGAGUAAUGUAUCGGAACGUGCCUAGUAGCGGGGGAUAACUACGCGAAAGCGUAGCUAAUACCGCAUACGCCCUACGGGGGAAAGCAGGGGAUCGCAAGACCUUGCACUAUUAGAGCGGCCGAUAUCGGAUUAGCUAGUUGGUGGGGUAACGGCUCACCAAGGCGACGAUCCGUAGCUGGUUUGAGAGGACGACCAGCCACACUGGGACUGAGACACGGCCCAGACUCCUACGGGAGGCAGCAGUGGGGAAUUUUGGACAAUGGGGGAAACCCUGAUCCAGCCAUCCCGCGUGUGCGAUGAAGGCCUUCGGGUUGUAAAGCACUUUUGGCAGGAAAGAAACGUCAUGGGCUAAUACCCCGUGAAACUGACGGUACCUGCAGAAUAAGCACCGGCUAACUACGUGCCCAGCAGCCGCGGUAAUACGUAGGGUGCAAGCGU
rnacentral:rRNA from 1 species